GUAGUUUUUAUUUUAUACUCUUGUCUCAUUCUGGUAUUCCUUUCAGGCACACUGAAUCAAUACCUACUUAUUGCUCAAAUUCAAGACGUUACACGAUGGCAGAAUAAGAUAAUACAAAGGAGGAUUUUCAUUACCUUCUGUCUGCUCCAUCCAAUCAAAAACAGAUAACCUAUUUCCUAGUUGUUGUACUAGAUCCAUUGCAUCUUUCCAAGGCUUAGGGCCCAGGAAACAUUUCCCUGCUUUUGCACAUCCUUGCUUGGAUCUUCUGAAAGAUGAAGCCAGCUUGCUGAAGCUUGAAAAGUUCAGGUAAUCUACCUUUUCCUUCUGGAAGCAUUUGGAAUCACUAUGAUACAUCUGGAUAUGAUUUUUUUCCUAGGAAUGAUUUAGCUUUGGUCUCAGUAUUUGACCAAAAUCCCCUAUCUGACUUAAGUUUCAACCU